rnacentral:rRNA from 1 species
AGAGUUUGAUCAUGGCUCAGAUUGAACGCUGGCGGCAGGCCUAACACAUGCAAGUCGAACGGUAGCACAGAGAGCUUGCUCUCGGGUGACGAGUGGCGGACGGGUGAGUAAUGUCUGGGAAACUGCCUGAUGGAGGGGGAUAACUACUGGAAACGGUAGCUAAUACCGCAUAACGUCGCAAGACCAAAGAGGGGGACCUUCGGGCCUCUUGCCAUCAGAUGUGCCCAGAUGGGAUUAGCUAGUAGGUGGGGUAACGGCUCACCUAGGCGACGAUCCCUAGCUGGUCUGAGAGGAUGACCAGCCACACUGGAACUGAGACACGGUCCAGACUCCUACGGGAGGCAGCAGUGGGGAAUAUUGCACAAUGGGCGCAAGCCUGAUGCAGCCAUGCCGCGUGUAUGAAGAAGGCCUUCGGGUUGUAAAGUACUUUCAGCGGGGAGGAAGGUGUUGUGGUUAAUAACCACAGCAAUUGACGUUACCCGCAGAAGAAGCACCGGCUAACUCCGUGCCAGCAGCCGCGGUAAUACGGAGGGUGCAAGCGUUAAUCGGAAUUACUGGGCGUAAAGCGCACGCAGGCGGUCUGUCAAGUCGGAUGUGAAAUCCCCGGGCUCAACCUGGGAACUGCAUUCGAAACUGGCAGGCUAGAGUCUUGUAGAGGGGGGUAGAAUUCCAGGUGUAGCGGUGAAAUGCGUAGAGAUCUGGAGGAAUACCGGUGGCGAAGGCGGCCCCCUGGACAAAGACUGACGCUCAGGUGCGAAAGCGUGGGGAGCAAACAGGAUUAGAUACCCUGGUAGUCCACGCCGUAAACGAUGUCGAUUUGGAGGUUGUGCCCUUGAGGCGUGGCUUCCGGAGCUAACGCGUUAAAUCGACCGCCUGGGGAGUACGGCCGCAAGGUUAAAACUCAAAUGAAUUGACGGGGGCCCGCACAAGCGGUGGAGCAUGUGGUUUAAUUCGAUGCAACGCGAAGAACCUUACCUGGUCUUGACAUCCACAGAACUUUCCAGAGAUGGAUUGGUGCCUUCGGGAACUGUGAGACAGGUGCUGCAUGGCUGUCGUCAGCUCGUGUUGUGAAAUGUUGGGUUAAGUCCCGCAACGAGCGCAACCCUUAUCCUUUGUUGCCAGCGGUCCGGCCGGGAACUCAAAGGAGACUGCCAGUGAUAAACUGGAGGAAGGUGGGGAUGACGUCAAGUCAUCAUGGCCCUUACGACCAGGGCUACACACGUGCUACAAUGGCGCAUACAAAGAGAAGCGACCUCGCGAGAGCAAGCGGACCUCAUAAAGUGCGUCGUAGUCCGGAUUGGAGUCUGCAACUCGACUCCAUGAAGUCGGAAUCGCUAGUAAUCGUAGAUCAGAAUGCUACGGUGAAUACGUUCCCGGGCCUUGUACACACCGCCCGUCACACCAUGGGAGUGGGUUGCAAAAGAAGUAGGUAGCUUAACCUUCGGGAGGGCGCUUACCACUUUGUGAUUCAUGACUGGGGUGAAGUCGUAACAAGGUAACCGUAGGGGAACCUGCGGUUGGAUCACCU